rnacentral:pre_miRNA from 15 species
CAGGGAGCCUAGCCAGACCCAGCUCAGACCUCAGCUAGGCAUGCCGAGGGGCUGAAUUGGGGGCCAAGGCUUCC